ensembl:snRNA U6 U6 spliceosomal RNA
GUGCUUACUGUGGCAACACAUAUACUAAAAUUGGAAUGAUACGGAGAUUAGCAUUGUCCCUGGUCAAGGAUGACACACAAAUUCAUAGAGCAUUUUAUAUAUAU